rnacentral:ncRNA from 1 species
UUUCAGGUGCUUCAUAAUAGUGAAGUGAAACGGGAAGCCGGUGCGUCUUAUCCUUACGAUAUCACAAUUCCGGCGCUGCCCCCGCAACGGUAAGCAAGUCAAGAUGGUCCUUCAUGCCACUAUCUGUCAGCGACGGAUGGGAAGGCGGAUUCAUCGGAGUCAGAGAUAAAGACUCCACUUGCGAGCCCGGAGACCGGCCUGAAACC